UACGUAGGUGGCAAGCGUUAUCCGGAAUUACUGGGCGUAAAGCGCACGCAGGUGGUUGUCUAAGACGGACGUGAAAGCUCCUGGCUUAACUGGGAGAGGUCGUUGGUGACUGGAUGACUUGAGGCGAGGAGAGGGGUGUAGAAUUCCCGGUGUAGUGGUGGAAUGCGUAGAGAUCGGGAGGAAUACCAGUGGCGAAAGCG
rnacentral:rRNA from 1 species